UACGUAGGGGCCUAGCGUUGUCCGGAUUUAUUGGGCGUAAAGAGCUCGUAGGCGGUUUGUCGCGUCUGCCGUGAAAGUCCGGGGCUCAACUCCGGAUCUGCGGUGGGUACGGGCAGACUAGAGUGAUGUAGGGGAGACUGGAAUUCCUGGUGUAGCGGUGAAAUGCGCAGAUAUCAGGAGGAACACCGAUGGCGAAGGCAGGUCUCUGGGCAUUAACUGACGCUGAGGAGCGAAAGCGUGGGGAGCGAACAGG
rnacentral:rRNA from 1 species